rnacentral:rRNA from 1 species
GCCAGCAGCCGCGGUAACACCAGCUCCAAUAGCGUAUAUUAAAGUUGUUGCGGUUAAAAAGCUCGUAGUUGAAUCUGUGUCCCACACUGUCGGUUCACCGCUCGCGGUGUUCAACUGGCAUGUCUGUGGGACGUCCUACCGGUGGGCGCAGCCCGUCAAAAGGCGGCCCAACUCAAAAUCCUACCACGGUGCUCUUCACCGAGUGUCGAGGUGGGCCGGUACGUUUACUUUGAACAAAUUAGAGUGCUUAAAGCAGGCUCAUUCGCCUGAAUAUUCUGUGCAUGGAAUAAUGGAAUAGGACCUCGGUUCUAUUUUGUUGGUUUUCGGAACUCCGAGGUAAUGAUUAAUAGGGACAACUGGGGGCAUUCGUAUUGCGACGUUAGAGGUGAAAUUCUUGGAUCGUCGCAAGACGGACAGAAGCGAAAGAAAUGUGUUUUCAUCAAUCAAGAACGAAAGUUAGAGGUUCGAAGGCGAUCAGAUACCGCCCUAGUUCUAACCAUAAACUAUGCCAGCUAGCGAUCCGCCGAAGUUCCUCCGAUGACUCGGCGGGCAGCUUCCGGGAAACCAAAGCUUUUGGGUUCCGGGGGAAGUAUGGUUGCAAAGCUGAAACUUAAAGGAAUUGACGGAAGGGCACCACCAGGAGUGGAG